rnacentral:lncRNA from 1 species
AUGCACGUUGUCCCCCACAUACUGUCCCCCGGUGUACGGUGUUCCUCAGUGCACGCUGUCCCCUGGUGCACACUGUCCCUCGCACGCUGUCCCCCGGUGCACGCUGUCCCUUGCAUGCUGUCCCCCGGUGCAUGCUGUCCCUCACACGCUGUCCCUCAGUGCACGCUGUCCCCCAGUGCACGCUGUCCCCCGGUGCACGCUGUCCCCCGGUGCACGCUGUCCCUCGGUGCACGCUGUCCCCUGGUGCACACUGUCCCUUGCACGCUGUCCCUCAUUGCACUUGUACCCUGGUGUACGCUGUCCCUAGCACGCUGUCCCCCGGAGCACGCUGUCCCCCGGUGCAUGCUUUCCCUCAGUGCAUGCUGUCCCCCGGUGCAUACUGUCCCUCGCACGCUGUCCCUCAGUGCACGCUGUCCCCCGGUGCACGCUGUCCCUCAGUGCACGCUGUCCCCCGGUGUAUGCUGUCUCUCGCACGCUGUCCCCCGGUGCACGCUGACCCUCGCACGCUGUCCCCCGGUGCACGCUGUCCCUCAGUGCAUGCUGUCUCCCAGUGGAUGCUGUCCCUCGUUGCACGCUGUCUCUCGUUGCACGCUGUCCCUUGGUGCACGCUGUCCCCCGGUGCACGCUGUCCCUUGCACGCUGUCCCUCGUUGCACGCUGUCCCCCGUUGCACACUGUCCCUCGCACGCUGUCCCCCGGUGCACGCUGUCCCUCAGUGCAUGCUGUCUCCCGGUACACGCUGUCCCUCGCACGCUGUCUCUCGUUGCACGCUGUCCCCCGUUGCACGCUGUCCCUUGCACGCUGUCCCCCGGUGCACGCUGUCCCUCGCACGCUGUCUCUCGUUGCACGCUGUCCCUUGUUGCACACUGUCCCUCGCACGCUGUCCCUCGGUGCACGCUGUCCCUCGGUGCACGUUGUCCCUCGCACGCUGUCCCCUGGUGCCUCACGCACGCGGCCGUGGGUACCCGGCAGGUCUUGGGCUCAGAACCGCGGCCUGCAGCCCACCCCGGAGUGCCAGCGCCCCCAGUCCCCAGGCCCGGGCUGGGGCGAGUCCGAGCUUCACGCGGGACGGGCCGACGGUUCCGGGAACACAAUCUCGGAGGACGUGAAGGCACAAAGGCGGGGAAGGACGGCCCGCCGCAAGGGAGGCGCGGGGGCUUCCUCCAGCCCGCGUAGCCCAGCCUGCCGAGCUGCCGCCCCCCCUCCCGGCCCCAGCUCCCGGGGACGCUCGGCACGGGCCCUCGGCCGCGAACGGACCGCUCCGGGCACUCUCGGAGUCAUCUCCACGCCCCGCGCGGGGUCGACCUCACGCCCCCCCCCCCGCCCCAGCCCCGCAGGCUCCGCCCGCUGGCCGGCCGCGUGGCCCCGGGGCCCCCGAGCCCAGUCCCCCGGCCCGCGGGCGCGCUGCCCGCCGCACAGCCGUUCCCAGGCGGCCGUUGUCGCCCACGACCCCCGCCCGCCGCCCCGCGCCCCUCCGAGGCCGAGCCGCCGCAGCGACUCCCCGCGCGCCCGCUUCCCGCCAGCCCCGCCUCCCCGUGACGGGCGCCUCGGCGGCCCAAUGAGCCGAGCGGUAGCCGCCCCCGGGGCGGGGCCGAGGGUGAGCCAAUCCCCACUUGGGCGCCCGCCUGGGUCCAAACGGCCCAAUCGGCGGCGGCGGCGGGGCGGGCCUCGGGGGCGGGGCCUGCCGCCUCAGCCAAUGGGCGGGCACGCCGGCGGCGGCAGGGGCGGGCGUGCGGCGGCGCGGCGGCGCAGGGCGGGGGCGGGAGGUAAACAAGAUGGCGGCGGCGUGUCGGGCGCGGAAGGGGGAGGCGGCCCGGGGUGUCCGCGACUGAGGCGGGGCGCGGGAGGCGGCGGCGGCGGCGGCGGCGGGCGCCGGCCGGCUCCGCGGCGCCUUGCAUGGGCUGGGCCCCCGCGCCGCCCCGCCUGCUCCACGCGCGCGGCGGCUGCGGCGGGGGCGCUCGCCGUCCGGGCCCCGGCGGCCUCGGGAAGCCCCGGCCCGGGCCUUCGGCCUGCGCCGCCGCGGCCGCUCGGAGCCCUCCGGGUGCCCGCGCCCCGCGGCCCGCGGCCGGCGGCGUUCGCGGCCGAGAGCGAGCGCGGGCUGCCGUUUGGGGCGGGGGGCGGCCGCUGCGGGGGCGCCGGCUCCGACGGAAGUUGCUCCCCGCGGCGGGAGGGCCCCGGGCAGCCCCCCGGCCCCCCGACGCGCGCCCGGGGCUGGCGGGGGCGGACGCCGCUGCGCCCCGCGCCGUCCGGAGAGGCGCCCGCCGCGGCCUCGGGCCCCCGGGACGGCGGGCCCCGCCGGGAGCCGCCCCCAGCAGCGCGCCCGGCCGCCGGCACCGCUCGGCUGCGCAGCCCGGGGCCCGGGGGCCGGCGGGUCGCCGCGGGGCCCUGUCUGGGCGCGCGCCCCGGCCCGCUGGUGAUGCCCGGCCCGGAGGGGACUCGGCCCGGCCGCAGCGGCGCUCGUCCGAGGGUCUGA